CCAGACCAUGGGUUAGCUUGGAGUUACUUGUGACUCUGAGUACCAUAUUGUGACUAGGGGGUAGUCUCGAGUUUUGACAUUCACAUACAAAUAUAUAAUUAUUUUAUGAUCUCAAAUACAUAUACAACACAUAGACUCUUUAAACACUGCCAUCAUUCUUUGAAAUACAUAUACAAAUUCAUUUCUUUGUUUUGAAAUGGGUAUACAAUUAUAAAUUUCAGGCCUUAUUCACAUACAAAAUGCAACUAUUUUUACAACUUUAAAUGAAUAUACAACAUAUAGACCCAUUAAAACACUGUUAUCACUCUUUGAAUUACAUAUAUAAAUUCAUUUAUUUGUUAUGAAAUACAUAUACAACUGCAAAUUCAAGCUUUAUUGACAUUAAAUUGAUAUACAAUGCAUACAUACAUUAACAAAUACACUUCAAUCAAACAAAAGUCACUAAUACAAUUAUACAAUUGCAUGAUACAAAAAUGUAUUACAAUUGUAUAAAUUCACCAAUCCAAAUACGUUUGAACUGUAAAAAAUCACGUUAUAUUGGAUACAAACGUCUAACGAAACUAAAAUAAUUUAAAUUAAAUUUAUACAUUGAUACAACUAUAAAAAUAUAUAUCAAUUUAUACAUUGAUACAAAUAUACAAACAAGAACAUUAUUGAAAUUGAAGAAAUUAGAUGAAAUCUAAUGAAGAGUGAAAGAAAAUUACAAAAUAAAUAUGAAAAAAAAUGCAAAUGAUAAUCGGAAUGUAUUAGGAACAUAGAUCUAAGAAAGGAAUUGAAAGUUGUCAUUAUAGAUCUGAAAAUGAAACUUUAUUCAAUGAGAAAACUAUGUUGCAUUAAGUAAAUCUGAGAACAUUGAUUUUAAAAAUUCUUUCUUUUUACUCCAUGAAUAACAACUAACAAUUCCCUUUUCCAUAGAACACUAUGAACAAAAUCUUUAUUCAUCUCCUUCAAUUUAUCCAUUAAUAGUCUAUCUCCUCCAAUACCAAUGUCGAAACAUAAAAUCAAUGUGUAAAAGAGAAAUACAAUUCAUUUUUAGAGAUGUAUAUUUGGGAAGAGAUAAAAUGCAAAAACUGAAAUUAAUUGUUACCUGAUUUUAUGAAAUGCAAUUUUGGGUAGAAAGCUUUUCAAAAUAUUGUAGAAUCUGAAUUCUAAAAAACAGGAGAAAAAUUGAGAAAGAUAAAAUAGGAAAGGAUAAAUGUUGAAGCACGAAAAAUGGGGAGUUACACUUGACAACUGCAUAUGGGGUAUUCUCCUGGAUCCACCCUACAUAUUGCUACUUUUGCUAUUUCAAUUAAUUUAUUUAAAGUGUUGUUAUGUAUCAUAAUUACAGAUUUAACUAUAUUAUGCUCUAUACUUUUUUCAUAAAUAAACGUGACUGGGUAUUUUCA
rnacentral:lncRNA from 1 species